GACGGAGGGUGCAAGCGUUGUUCGGAAUUACUGGGCGUAAAGGGCGCGUAGGCGGUCUGUUGCGUCGGGAGUGAAAUCUUACAGCUUAACUGUGAACUUGCUUUCGAUACGGGCAGACUUGAGGCAUUCAGGGGAGAACGGAAUUCCUGGUGUAGCGGUGAAAUGCGCAGAUAUCAGGAGGAACACCGGUGGCGAAGGCGGUUCUCUGGGAAUGUCCUGACGCUGAGGAGCGAAAGUGUGGGGAGCGAACAGG
rnacentral:rRNA from 1 species